AUUGAACGCUGGCGGCAGGCCUAACACAUGCAAGUCGAGCGGAUGAAGGGAGCUUGCUCCUGGAUUCAGCGGCGGACGGGUGAGUAAUGCCUAGGAAUAUGCCUGGUAGUGGGGGAUAACGUCAGGACACGGGCGCUAAUACCGCAUACGUCCAGAGGGAGAAAGGGGGGGAUCUUCGGACCUCAAGCUAUCAGAUGAGCCUAGGCCGGAUUAGCUAGUUGGUGGGGUAAAGGCCUACCAAGGCGACGAUCCGUAACUGGUCUGAGAGGAUGAUCAGUCACACUGGAACUGAGACACGGUCCAGACUCCUACGGGAGGCAGCAGUGGGGAAUAUUGGACAAUGGGCGAAAGCCUGAUCCAGCCAUGCCGCGUGUGUGAAGAAGGUCUUCGGAUUGUAAAGCACUUUAAGUUGGGAGGAAGGGCAGUAAGUUAAUACCUUGCUGUUUUGACGUUACCAACAGAAUAAGCACCGGCUAACUUCGUG
rnacentral:rRNA from 1 species